rnacentral:rRNA from 1 species
UACGUAGGGUGCAAGCGUUUGUCCGGAAUUAUUGGGCGUAAAGAGCUUGUAGGCGGUUUGUCGCGUCUGCUGUGAAAUUUCGGGGCUCAACCCCGAACUUGCAGUGGGUACGGGCAGACUAGAGUGUGGUAGGGGAGACUGGAAUUCCUGGUGUAGCGGUGAAAUGCGCAGAUAUCAGGAGGAACACCGGUGCGAAGGCGGGUCUCUGGGCCGUAACUGACGCUGAGGAGCGAAAAGCAUGGGGGAGCGAACAGG